rnacentral:rRNA from 1 species
ACGGGUGCGUAACACGUGAACAACCUGCCCUCGUGUGGGGGAUAGCCGGGCUAACGCCCGGGUAAUACCGCAUACGUUCCUCUGGGGGAGUCCCUGGGGGAGGAAAGCUCCGGCGCACGGGGAGGGGUUCGCGGCCUAUCAGCUAGUUGGCGAGGUAACGGCUCACCAAGGCGACGACGGGUAGCUGGUCUGAGAGGAUGGCCAGCCACAUUGGGACUGAGAGACGGCCCAGACUCCUACGGGAGGCAGCAGUGGGGGAUCUUGCGCAAUGGUCUAACGACUGACGCAGCGACGCCGCGUGUGGGAGGACGCCUUUCGGGGUGUAAACCACUGUUGCCCGGGACGAACAGCCUUUUUCGAGAGGUCUGACGGUACCGGGUGAGGAAGCACCGGCUAACUCCGUGCCAGCAGCCGCGGUAAUACGGAGGGUGCGAGCGUUGUCCGGAAUCAUUGGGCGUAAAGGGCGCGUAGGUGGCCCAGUCAGCGUGCGGUGAAAGCUCGGGGCUCAACCCCGAGUCGGCCGUGCGAACUACUGGGCUGGAGCACUGUAGAGGCAGGCGGAAUUCCGGGUGUAGCGGUGGAAUGCGUAGA